rnacentral:rRNA from 1 species
UUGCCAGCCCGCUCAAGAAACUUAAAGGAAUUGACGGGGCCCGCACAAGCGGAGGAGCAUGUGGUUUAAUUCGAUGAUACGCGAGGAACCUUACCUGGGCUCGAACGUAAGAUGACUGUAGGUGAAAGCUUACAUCUCUUCGGAGCAUUUUACGAGGUGCUGCAUGGUUGUCGUCAGCUCGUGCCGUGAGGUGUCGGGUUAAGUCCCAUAACGAGCGCAACCCUACCUUUAGUUGCCAUCAGGUAAUGCUGGGGACUCUAAAGGAACUGCCUACGCAAGUAGUGAGGAAGGCGGGGAUGACGUCAAAUCAGCACGGCCCUUACGUCCAGGGCUACACACGUGCUACAAUGGCCGAUACAGAGGGCAGCUACCUGGUGACAGAAUGCAAAUCUCCAAAGUCGGUCUCAGUUCGGAUCGGAGUCUGCAACCCGACUCCGUGAAGUUGGAUUCGCUAGUAAUCGCGCAUCAGCCAUGGCGCGGUGAAUACGUUCCCGGGCCUU